UACGAAGGGGGGCUAGCGUUGCUCGGAAUCACUGGGCGUAAAGCGCACGUAGGCGGCUUUUUUAAGUCAGGGGGUGAAAUCCUGGAGCUCAACUCCAGAACUGCCUUUGAUACUGGAAAGCUUGAGUCCGGAAGAGGUGAGUGGAACUCCGAGUGUAGAGGUGAAAUUCGUAGAUAUUCGGAAGAACACCAGUGGCGAAGGCGGGUCUCUGGGCAGUAACUGACGCUGAGGAGCGAAAGCGUGGGGAGCGAACAGG
rnacentral:rRNA from 1 species